UUACUCUGGUUUCUUCAUAACGUACAAGUCUUGUCGCCUUUACUAAAAGACUUCCGUGGAGAGUGACUCCAGACGGAAGUGUAGUCCUAUUCCUUGGCAGGACUUUGCCGUCUG